UAAAAGUGACAUGUACAAGAUCUUUUGCAUUAAAUCCAUUCAUCACUCUUCAUGAUGUCCUACUUGUUCCUUCUUUCAAACACAACUUGAUUUAUGUCCAUAAGUUAGUAAAACAGUUGCAUUGCAUAGUAUUGUUCACUGCAACUUCCUGUUUUCUUCACUUGUUAUAGGCCCCUUCUCUGAGGAUGCCUCUGGAUCUUGGUAAAGAGUAGGCUGGUCUGUACAAGCUUGCUUGGGUGCCACCUUCCUCUUCUUCUAAUUGUUGUUCUUCUGUUUCUGUAUGUUCUUCUUCUUCUAAUUCUUGUAAACCAGACUGUUCUAGUCAUCAAGCUGUUAGUUUACCUUUGAAUGUAAACAGUUCCAUGUGUAAUAAUAUUGUUGCCACUGACAUGAAUUACAUUUGGCAUUUGAGGUUGGGUCAUAUCCCUUUUGCAAACAUAAAACACAUUUCUGCUUUAUCUUUUCCAUUUGCUUCUAAACAACCUUUUCAGUGUUCUACCGGUCCUAUGGCCAGGCAAACUAGACUUCCCUUUCCUGAAAGCACAACUAGUACAUCUAGACCUUUUCAAUUGAUUCAUGUAGAUACUUGGGGCCCUUAUCACUGGCCAGGCAAACUAGACUUCCCUUUCCUGAAAGCACAACUAGUACAUCUAGACCUUUUCAAUUGAUCCAUGUAGAUACUUGGGGCCUUUAUCACACUCCCACCUCUUCUGGCUCUAGAUAUUUUCUCACAAUAAUUGAUGAUUUUUCUAGAGCAACCUGGACACAUUUGUUGGGAUCUAAAAGCAAUGCUUUCUGCAUGCUUCAAUCUUUUCUCUGUAUGAUUAAGACACAGUAUAAUGCAAAUGUUCAAACUAUUAGGAGUGACAAUGCUUUAGAAUUGGGAUCUAGCAUUGCUGGUACAUCCUUUUUUA
rnacentral:lncRNA from 1 species